rnacentral:piRNA from 1 species
GUGUCUCCAAGUCCUGAGUCUACUGG